AUUGGACAAUGGGGGGAACCCUGAUCCAGCGACGCCGCGUGAGUGAAGAAGUAUUUCGGUAUGUAAAGCUCUAUCAGCAGGGAAGAAAGAAAUGACGGUACCUGACCAAGAAGCCCCGGCUAACUAUGUGGCAGCAGCCGCGGUAAUACAUAGGGGGCAAGCGUUAUCCGGAAUUAUUGGGUGUAAAGGGUGCGUAGACGGAAGAACAAGUUGGUUGUGAAAUCCCUCGGCUCAACUGAGGAACUGCAACCAAAACUAUUCUCCUUGAGUGUCGGAGAGGAAAGUGGAAUUCCUAGUGUAGCGGUGAAAUGCGUAGAUAUUAGGAGGAACACCAGUGGCGAAGGCGACUUUCUGGACGAUAACUGACGUUGAGGCACGAAAGUGUGGGGAGCAAACAGG
rnacentral:rRNA from 1 species